rnacentral:rRNA from 1 species
CAGCCGCCACGGUAAUACGUAGGGUGCAAGCGUUAAUCGGAAUUACUGAGCGUAAAGCGUGCGCAGGCGGUUCUAUAAGACAGAUGUGAAAUCCCCGGGCUCAACCUGGGAACUGCAUUUGUGACUGUAGAGCUGGAGUGCGGCAGAGGGGGAUGGAAUUCCGCGUGUAGCAGUGAAAUGCGUAGAUAUGCGGAGGAACACCGAUGGCGAAGGCAAUCCCCUGGGCCUGCACUGACGCUCAUGCACGAAAGCGUGGGGAGCAAACAGGAUUAGAUACCCCCGUAGUCCCUGUCUCUUAUAC